rnacentral:rRNA from 1 species
GUGGGGAAUAUUGCACAAUGGGGGAAACCCUGAUGCAGCGACGCCGCGUGAGUGAAGAAGUAUUUCGGUACGUAAAGCUCUAUCAGCAAGGAAGAAAAUGACGGUACUUGACUAAGAAGCCCCGGCUAACUACGUGCCAGCAGCCGCGGUAAUACGUAGGGGGCAAGCGUUAUCCGGAUUUACUGGGUGUAAAGGGAGCGUAGACGGUAUGGUAAGUCAGAUGUGAAAGCCCGGGGCUCAACCCCGGGACUGCAUUUGAAACUAUCAGACUAGAGUGCAGGAGAGGUAAGUGGAAUUCCUAGUGUAGCGGUGAAAUGCGUAGAUAUUAGGAGGAACACCGGUGGCGAAGGCGGCUUACUGGACAGCAACUGACGUUGAGGCUCGAAGGCGUGGGGAGCAAACAGGAUUAGAUACCCGGGUAGUCC